CGAUACGGGACUCAUCCGAGGCCCCGUAAUCGGAAUGAGUACACUUUAAAUCCUUUAACAAGGAUCCAUUGGAGGGCAAGUCUGGUGCCAGCAGCCGCGGUAAUUCCAGCUCCAAUAGCGUAUAUUAAAGUUGUUGCGGUUAAAAAGCUCGUAGUUGAAUCUGUGUGCCACGCUGUCGGUUCAUCGCUCGCGAUGUCAACUGGCAUGAUUGUGGUACGUCCUACCGGUGGAUUUAGCCUUUCGGGGCGGUCCAGCUUAAUAUCCCAUCGCGGUGCUCUUUACCGAGUGUCGAGGUGGGCCGGUACGUUUACUUUGAACAAAUUAGAGUGCUUAAAGCAGGCUGUAUACGCCUGAAUACUGUGUGCAUGGAAUAAUAGAAUAGGACCUCGGUUCUAUUUUGUUGGUUUUCGGAACACCGAGGUAAUGAUUAAUAGGGACAGAUGGGGGCAUUCGUAUUGCGACGUUAGAGGUGAAAUUCUUGGAUCGUCGCAAGACGGACAGAAGCGAAAGCAUUUGCCAAAAAUGUUUUCAUUAAUCAAGAACGAAAGUUAGAGGUUCGAAGGCGAUCAGAUACCGCCCUAGUUCUAACCAUAAACGAUGCCAGCUAGCGAUCCGCCGAAGUUCCUCCGAUGACUCGGCGGGCAGCUUCCGGGAAACCAAAGCUUUUGGGUUCCGGGGGAAGUAUGGUUGCAAAGCUGAAACUUAAAGGAAU
rnacentral:rRNA from 1 species